rnacentral:rRNA from 1 species
AGUAUUUUGACUAUACAAAGGUAUUGAAAUAAGACUUUAAUUGAGUGCUAAGAGAAUGGAAUUUCAUAAAAUUUCUUUUUUAAUUUUAAAAAUUGAAAUUAAUUUUAUAUGUGAAGAAACAGUAAUAAAAAUUAAGGACAAGAAGACCCUAAGAAUUUUAAAAAUUUCAAUAAAAUGCUGCAUUUUAUUGAAAUUUUUUAAUUGGGGCGAUUAUUAAAUAUUAAAAACUUUAAUUUUUUAAAAAAGAACCAAUAAUAUUGGUUAUUUGAAAAAAUACUCUAGGGAUAACAGCGUAAUAAUUUUUGAUAGUUCUUAUAGACAAAAUAGUUUGCGACCUCGAUGUUGGAUUAGGAUUCUUUUUUAAUGAAGAAGUUAAAAAAAGAAGUUUGUUCAACUUUUAAAAUCCUA